UACGUAGGGUGCGAGCGUUGUCCGGAAUUAUUGGGCGUAAAGAGCUCGUAGGCGGUGUGUCACGUCGGCCGUGAAAACCUGCAGCUUAACUGUGGGCGUGCGGUCGAUACGGGCAUCACUGGAGUUCGGCAGGGGAGACUGGAAUUCCUGGUGUAGCGGUGAAAUGCGCAGAUAUCAGGCGGAACACCCGUAGCGAAGGCGGCCAGCUGGGCCGUCCCUGACACUGAGGCGCGAAGGCGUGGGGAGCGAACGGG
rnacentral:rRNA from 1 species